UUGCUUGGUUGAGCUGAUUCGGGAAGGAUUAAUAUAUUGGGGAGUUUGGUUGUAAGAAGCAUUGGUCAAAAAUUACAGGCCACGGAAUUGGAUUGCUUCAUUUUUCUCUUUUGAUCAAUCCAUUCGAAAGCUCAAAAGAAAUAAUUUGUAAAAAAUGAUUUUAAUAUGCAUCGAUAAUAGAAACUGCAGACCAAUUUGUCUUACUCGUCUGAUUUUAGUGCAUCACGCUACAAAAAUGUUGCGUUUUCCUAUUAGAAAUAUUAUAAAAAUGUUUACGUUUUCAAGUGUUCGUAGUCGUUUUGACAUUUCUAGCACCUGACCUAGAAUAGAAAAUUGUGCCGCCUAAAUUUGGUAAAAAAGAAAAGGGGUCCUACACGAAAUGUCUCGUAGUUUUAGGUUUUUAGGUUUGCUAGAUUCUUAGAAUCCUUAUCAAUAAGUCCGGCUAGUUUUCUUUAUCGACAAGUUGACAUUUUUUAUUUAUAGUAAUGGUUGGGUCGAAUUCUAAACGAGGCUGACAUUCGAGUGUCCUCUUUCUUAACCAUUAUCGGACAACUAGGAUCAUCUUCCUGGUUCUUAUCACUAAGUCAAGUUACAUAAUGAUCAAUUAAAUACGAAUUAUCUUCACUCAAUAAACCAAACGCGGAUGGCCAUAUCGAACAUAAUAUUCUUUUCAUUUAAACAACAGAAUAAUAUUAUCUUAAAUUUCAAAAAAUAGUAUAAGAUGCUUAACGGACUCAUAAAACAUUGUUCUAGUCCACAUGGUGAUGACUUCACCAGGUUGCAAAUUGGACCAACCCCUAUUGCACUGCGCCAGAUUCUUGGAGUUGCCCCAGUCCCCAGAUGUCACGCGAGACUAGGAACAAUUUUCCCGUGACUGGAGGGAGCUUAUAGCAUCACUCCCCAAAUUUUCUUUGCAUGUUCCGUAUACUUGUGCCCUUAAAUAUGGCAGCAUAUAUGGACGUGAACAAGAGCGGUUCGAUGCAUUGACUUGGGGCCUAAAGCGAAUUCAAAAGCUCCAACAGAAAUAUAUUUGAAGGCCUCAGUGCAUAAAUAAAGAAAGAAAUACUAAAUUUCUUUAGAUAAGAGAUACGUCCCAACAUAAAUACAUUUGAAGGCCUCAAUACAUUUAUAGCUAUAAAAAUAUCUACCAUUUGAGGUCCCUAAGGCUCCAAAUGCAUUAGAGACCUCAAUGCAUUUGGAGGCUUAUCUUGAAAUUUACGAUAAUAAAUGCAUUUGGGGGCUGGAGCUGCCCGCUUAAGGGUUGAGCCGGCCCCGGAUAUAAAGAAUUAAAGAUAGAAUUGCACCCAUAUAAAUAGAUUUUGGCCUUCUUGUACAGAAGAUACCGUGGGCUAGUGAUAUUUACCAAUAAAUAGGUUGUCUCCCUCUUUUAGUUAUAAAUCGAGAAGUUAUUGGUUGAACUAGGUCUACUAGCUCGGUUGCCAACCAUGAAGCAAUGCUCACAUACAUGGAUGAAAAAGAAGCGUGUUGCUCUGGGAUUGGGGUCCAACCAAUAAUUUUUAUCUAAAAAUAUGCUCAAAUCUAAGAGGUUGGGGAAAGAAGACUUUCCGUGUGCAUCAUAUACGGAAAGACGGGGCUUAGUUUAUCAUCCACCACGUGACUCAACUACAUGCCAUGAAUUCUAUUCACCACAGUGCUCCAUCCACCAGUCUAUUAUCUAGUAGGAGUAAGACCACAACCUCCCAUGGCUCCAUCCAUCCAAAACUGAAGCCCAGUGGAAUGCAAGGAGGCUCUUUUCCCAAUUGGCUCCAAAAGAAAGCCUUGAUCGUAUUAGAUCAUAU
rnacentral:lncRNA from 1 species